rnacentral:lncRNA from 1 species
GCAAUAUAGAACCAAAAUUCAGGACACGAAGGAAACUCAAGAGAAGUGAGCCUGGGACUUAGAGCUACUUUUCCCAUAAGGGCACCUGCUGAUUCUGGAAGAGGCAGCUAAGAAGCUGAGUAGAACUUUCAACAACUUCUUGUGUUAGGGAGCCAGCUUCAUGAAUGCUGGCAGAAAACACAGGAUUACUUGGGCAGAGACUACUGCUCAGGGCACAGCAGGCAGUGUGUUAGCCUUGGUCUCCCUUGCCCUCCAAGUCCCACAGGGCAAUACUGGCAGGCCCAGGAAAGUGUUACACACUGCAGGUUUGCAUGACGGCUAAGGAACCACAAUCUUAGGGAGAUACUAUCUCUGUCUUCUAAGGCCAUUUGCUGUACAAAAAUCCUUGAAAUACCUGGGCACAGUGGCACACCUAUAAUCCUAGCACUUUGGGAGGCUGAGGCAGGCGGAUCACCUGAGGUUGGGAGUUCCAGACCAGCCUGACCAACAUGGAGAAAUCCCGUCUCUACUAAAAAUACAAAAAUUAGCCAAGCGUGGUGGCGCGAGCCUGUAAUCCAGCUACUCGGGAGGCUGAGGCAGGAGAAUCGCUUGAACCCAGGAGGCGGAGGUUGUGGUGAGCCAAGAUCACGCCGUUGCACUCCAGCCUGGGCAACAAGAGUGAAACUCCAUCUCAAGAAAAAAAAAAUCCUUGAAAUAGUCUGGAACAAAAUCUGUCAACAUCUCAGCCCACAAAGUAUCAACAAAAUUGAUAUUUUGUUGCAUUUAAAAAAUUUAAAUGGUGGUCAAAGCGUACAAAAUCUGACAAUUAAGACACCCACAAGAGACACAGAAUUAUCUCCCAAUAAAAUUGUCUCAUAAAAACCUGGCUCCCACAAAUAUGGAAAGGGAGAAAACUAGAAUAAACCCUGUGGUGUCGAAUUGGAGAUAUCAGUGUGAACUCGUGUAUUUCAGUCUAUAGAGAUAGAUGUAAAUAUGUUUUUGUAUGUAUAGUCCUUUGCACUGAUGUGAGAGCAAUGACACUCCAAUAGUAAUGACCACACCCAGCACCCAGGUCCACCAAAAGACAAAGUGCUAUGGACUGAAUUAUAUCCCCCUAAAAUUCAUAUGUUGAAGCCCUAACCCCCAAUGUGAUGAUAUUUGGAAAUGGGACAUUUGGGAGAUAAUUAAGUUUAGAUGGCCAGGUAUGGUGGCUCACGCCUGUAAUCCCAGCACUUUGGGAGGCCAAGGCGGGCGGAUCACAAGGUCAGGAGAUCGAGACCAUCCUGGCUAACACGGUGAAACCCCGUCUCUUCUAAAAAUACAAAAAUUAGCUGGGUGUGGUGGCACGCACCUGUAGUCCCAGCUACUUGGGAGGCUGAGGCAGAAGAAUUGCUUGAACCCAGGAGGUAGAGUUUGCAGUGAGCCAAGGUAGUGCUACUGCACUCCAGCCUGGGUGAAAGAGCGAGACUCCGUCUCAAAACAAAAUGAAACAAAACAAAACAAACUAUUGCCUAUAGCAAACCAAUUGUAGCCUGGGCAACAUAGUGAGACCCUGUCUCUAUAAAAACUAAAAAUAGGCUGGGCGCAGUGGCUCAUUCCUGUAAUUCCAACACUUUGGGAGGCUGAGGGGGGAGGAUCACUUAAGUCCAGGAGUUUGAGACCAGCCUGGGCAACAUGGUGAGACCCCUGUGUCUACAAAAAUAAAAAUAAAAAACUUAGCUGGGUGUGGUGGUGCAUGCUUGUGUCCCAGCUA